GACGAACGCUGGCGGCGUGCUUAACACAUGCAAGUCGAACGGAGCGGCGGACGGGUAAGUAAUGACUAGUAAUCUACAUGGGAGUGGGGUAUACAGUCGGGAAAGGUAAGAUAAUAACGCAUGAUAUCAGGUGAGCCUCGGUGGGAUUAGCUGGUUGGUGCGGUAAAGGCCUACCAAGGCGACGAGCCAUAGCUGCUCUGAGAUGACGAUCAGUCACACUGGGACUGAGACACGGGCCAGACUCCUACGGGAGGAAGCAGUGGGGAAUCUUCGGCAAUGGGCGAAAGUCUGAUCGAGCCAUGCCGCGUGAGUGAAGAAGGUCUUCGGAUUGUAAAACACUUUAGGUAGAGAGGCGUUACCAAAACAAAAAGCACCGGCUAACUUCGUGCCAGCAGCCGCGGUAAUUC
rnacentral:rRNA from 1 species